GCUAGUUCUUCACACUAAUUCCAAGGGUCAAAACGAGACAAACAAACAUGAAUUCCAAUAUGGCCUCCAAAAUACUGGUUGUGUUCUUCCUGAUCCUGCAGGCAUCUCUCAUGUUUAUAGCACAGGACGUGCUUGCUGCAAGAAACCUUGCUAAAAAGAGCGGUGCAUUAGACUGUGUGGAGUCAGGUGGAGCCAAUGCAAAGAGUUCUUCAUACCAGGGUAGUUGGUCGCCGAAUUCUGGAGGUUACGGGAAGCCAGGCCACUAGGUGCGAGCCAGACCAUCUAUGUACUAUGAACUCCUUUGGUCCGAGUCAGACCAUCUAUGUACUAAAAAUUCUAAGAGGAUGAAUAAAUUGGGGACCCACACCUUUAUGUAAUAAUUCUUGAUUUCA